rnacentral:tRNA from 1 species
UGAUGGUGGAGCUGUUGCUUCUUCCUUG